GCCAUGACUCAGUGGUAGAGCAUCUGCUUUGCAGAUUUUUUUGCAGGUUCAAUCCCUGGCAUCUCCA